GGAGGGAUUGCCGAGCGGUCAAAGGCAGCAGACUGUAAAUCUGCCCACGUAAUGUGUUCGUAGGUUCGAAUCCUACUCCCUCUACCA
rnacentral:tRNA from 1 species